rnacentral:rRNA from 1 species
AUUGAACGCUGGCGGCAGGCCUAACACAUGCAAGUCGAACGAGUGGCGGACGGGUGAGUAAUGUCUGGGAAACUGCCCGAUGGAGGGGGAUAACUACUGGAAACGGUAGCUAAUACCGCAUACCAUCGGAUGUGCCCAGUUGGGAUUAGCUAGUAGGGGGGGUAACGGCUCACCUAGGCGACGAUCCCUAGCUGGUCUGCGAGGAUGACCGGCCAAAGUGGAACUGGGAAACGGUCCAGACUCCUAGGGGAGGCAGCAGUGGGGAAUAUUGCACAAUGGGCGCAAGCCUGAUGCAGCCAUGCCGCGGGUAUGAAGAAGGCCUUCGGGUUGUAAAGUACUUUCAGCGAGGAGGCGUUACUCGCAGAAGAAGCACCGGCUAACUCCGUGCCAGCAGCCGCGGUAAUUC